rnacentral:lncRNA from 10 species
CAGAAAGCCAAUUAGGAGACAACGAGAAUUCUCGGGGAACAAAGGCUUUAUUUAAUUGGGUGCCGCGCAGCUGAGGAGAUGCAAGAUCAGUCUCAAAUCCAUUUCCCUGAUCUACUAAAACUGGGAGUUUAUGUAGUGGGGGAGGAAUAAAACUAUAUGUGGGUAAACAGGAAUUAGAGAGGGCUAAGGAAGAGGAGUUGGUCAACAGGAAGCAGGUGGUUGGAUAGGCAAUCACGAUGAGUGGGGGGUAUGGUGUCUCAUUGUCCGGAUGCUGUGAUCUGGUGCAUCAUGCUAAUGCCUAUAUGUUUAUUCCUGCUACCUCCAAUAGUUCACUGAUAAUUCAGAUUCAGACCAAUGGAGAAACCAUGGGAGGAAAAAAACAAACUUUUACUCUGAUUUCCCUUGGAAUCCAGUCACCAUGCUGUGAGGAAAUCAAAGCCAAAGGGAAGUUUCACAUGAAGAGCAAUCAAGUCGUUUAGCCCUCAGCCUGAUGACCACCCUACUGACUGCUGCCCGUGUGAGUGAGCCAUCAUAAAAGCAAAUCCAUCAGUUUUCAACUGAGCCUCAGUUGAGGAUGCCUGGGAUAGAAACAAGUCUCUCCCAUAUAGAUCUUUCAAAACUGCAUGUUGGCAAGCCAAAUAAUUAUUGUUGUUUUAUGCUGCUAAGUUUUACAGAUGAUAUGUUUUCUAUUUAGCACUAUAUAAUAAAAGCAGAAAGUGACUUCAUAAUAAUAAAAUAGCAAAUUCAAUAGGAAUAUGCAAUAAAUUGAAUAUUUGAUAAUAAUAUAUCUUCAAAAUAUAUGGAAAAAAU